rnacentral:rRNA from 1 species
UACGUAGGGUGCGAGCGUUAAUCGGAAUUACUGGGCGUAAAGCGUGCGCAGGCGGUUUUGUAAGUCUGUCGUGAAGGCCCCGGGCUUAACCUGGGAAUUGCGAUGGAGACUGCAAGGCUUGAAUCUGGCAGAGGGGGGUAGAAUUCCACGUGUAGCAGUGAAAUGCGUAGAGAUGUGGAGGAACACCGAUGGCGAAGGCAGCCCCCUGGGUCAAGAUUGACGCUCAUGCACGAAAGCGUGGGGAGCAAACAGG